rnacentral:rRNA from 1 species
CGGACGCUAAUACCGCAUACGUCCUACGGGAGAAAGCAGGGGACCUUCGGGCCUUGCGCUAUCAGAUGAGCCUAGGUCGGAUUAGCUAGUUGGUGAGGUAAUGGCUCACCAAGGCGACGAUCCGUAACUGGUCUGAGAGGAUGAUCAGUCACACUGGAACUGAGACACGGUCCAGACUCCUACGGGAGGCAGCAGUGGGGAAUAUUGGACAAUGGGCGAAAGCCUGAUCCAGCCAUGCCGCGUGUGUGAAGAAGGUCUUCGGAUUGUAAAGCACUUUAAGUUGGGAGGAAGGGCAUUUACCUAAUACGUGAUUGUUUUGACGUUACCGACAGAAUAAGCACCGGCUAACUCUGUGCCAGCAGCCGCGGUAAUACAGAGGGUGCAAGCGUUAAUCGGAAUUACUGGGCGUAAAGCGCGCGUAGGUGGUUUGUUAAGUUGGAUGUGAAAUCCCCGGGCUCAACCUGGGAACUGCAUCCAAAACUGGCAAGCUAAAGUAUGGUAGAGGGUGGUGGAAUUUCCUGGGAGCGGUGAAAUGCGUAGAUAUA